UUUUUUUUUCUUUUUCUUUUAGGAUAUUGCCCUAGUAUCUGUUUGUUUGUUGAGAAAUUGACAAGUAAAUGUUUCAAUUUGAAGUAAUUUUUCAUUAUUUGGGACCAAGAAAGCAGAAAUCUUCAUUCUGCAUGGUUAAUGAAAGUUGCAUUUGUUGUUCUGGUUUUCUUAGUUUGGUCUUUAAGCAUAAUAUCUUAUAAAACGUUUCAUAAAACGUAAUCAUUAAAUCAUGCUUUUCAUGUAUGCAAUUCUACUAUUAAAACAUGCAUCUUAGAAGGGAUCCACUCACAGAUACUUCACCGUCGAAAAGCCACGCAAACUAGCAAAGACAGAAACAUCAUGAUAAAUGCACCUAAGCACAUAAAGGGUCCAAUUCAUAAAAUUAUAUUCAAACGAUUGAAUUUGGGAAAACAAACAUCAAAAACGGAUUCUGACACUGGAGGGCAGGUAUUGCUUACAUUUGACUAUUUAACAUCCAAUUGUUUGUUUUGGGUUCUUCCUUUCCUACAUCUUUAUAUAUGUCUGCUAGAAUAUCAAUAGGUCCAAUAGUUCACGAAUCUUCUCGUCCUAAACCCAUGAAAAUGUUUUAUCUUUUAUAGAAAACUUUGUGUGACCGCCGUAUGCCACUGAAGCUCAAGGGAAAAUUUUAUAGGACGGCAAUAAGGCCGGCGAUGCUGUAUGGCACAGAAUGUUGGGCGGUGAAGCAUCAACACGUACACAAAAUAGGUGUAGCGGAGAUGAGGAUGCUUCGUUGGAUGUGUGGGCACACGAGAAAGGAUAAGAUUAGGAAUGAGGAUAUCCGGGGUAAAGUAGGAGUAGCCGAAAUUGAAGGAAAGAUGAGAGAAAAUCGGUUACGGUGGUUUGGACAUGUGCAAAGAAGGCCUACUGACGUUCCGAUUAGAAGAUGCGACUAUGGGACAGAGGUUCAGGGCCGAAGGGGUAGAGGAAGACCCAGGAAAACUUUGAGAGAGACCCUAAGAAAAGACUUAGAGUACUUGGAUCUAACGGAGGACAUGACACAGGACAGAACACAAUGGCGUUCUAAGAUUCAUAUAGCCGAUCCCACUCAGUGACUUGGAUUUUCCAAGUCUCCAACCGAGAAGUUGUCCUCGCUCGGGAAAUUAAGGGAACACUACCUCAACCUACAUGCUCCACUCACAAAGCUCCAACAUACAAGCUUCAACAAAAGAAAAUUCAAAGAACUUAGCGAAGAAGGCUUUGGUGAUUUAACACAAUACGUUGAAAUGAAGGAAAGCUUAUUUAUUGAUAUCCCCGAUAAAUUACAAAUAUGUACAUAUACUUGAGUCAAAAUAAACAAACAAGAGGGAGCCUUCACAAAGGUUGCUUAGGAGAAGUCUCAGCAGUCGGUAGAGCCCCAGAAAGAGAAGGCACCGGAGGGGGAUCAUUCGGAGCCUCAGUACUGGACAGAACCCUAGAAGGAGGAGGCAUCAGAGGUUGAUCAUUUGGAGUUUUAUUACGCGGUACAGCCCCAGAAGACGAAGGCAAUAAAUGCCUUUGGAACAAACCCACAAAUCUCUUGAUGAUCAAGUAAAACCUGACCAUCAGAUUCCUUCAUCUGGUCAAGCUUCCUCUUCAUGUUUGUAGCAUAGUCAUGUGCGAGCCGGUGCAACUGUUUAUUCUCAUGCUUGAGCCCUCUAAUCUCCUGUUUGAGACUCAUCACUUCAGCCGCCAAUGAUUCAACUUGGCGGGUUCGAGCAAAUAGGCGUUGGGCCAUAUUAGACACAGAACCUGCACACUGAACACUAAGAGCCAGAGAAUCCUUAACAGCCAACUCAUCAGACCGUUUGGAAAGUAGUCUGUUAUCUUUGGGAGUGAGAAGGUUCCUGGCCACUACCGCAGCGGUCAUAUCAUUCUUCAUCACGGAAUCCCCAACGGUAAGAGGACCAGUAGGGGAGACGAAGGAUGGGCGCCAUAUGUUGUCUGGAGAAGGCGGGGCUGCCUCUUCAACAAGGUUCAAGUCAAAACGACGGUCGGAGGGGCCAGACAUUUUCAAAGGUGUAGAAGAGAGAAGAGGUUAGACAAAUCAAGAUCUUAGAAGUGCAAGAAUGGAGCUUCUACUGGUGGAUAUUCAAGUGUGCUUUGGAACUUAAUGUCAGCCUCUAUAAAAAUCUGCACUCGACGAAGCUUCAGAAAUCGAAGAGGCGUUUGCUUUCUCAAAAGCUGGGCUGCUCAGCGACCACGAGGGUCGAUCUCAGAAAUCGAAGAGGCGUUUGCUUUCUCAAAAGUUGGGCUGCUCAAAGACCACGAAGGCUGAUCUCAGAAAUCGAAGAGGUUUGCUUUCUCAAAAGCUGGGCUGCUCAGAGACCACGAGGGCCGAUCUCAGAAAUCGAAGAGGUUUGCUUUCUCAAAAGCUGGGCUGCUCAGAGACCACGAGGGCCGAUCUCAGAAAUCGAAGAGGUUUGCUUUCUCAAAAGCUGGGCUGCUCAGAGACCACGAGGGUCGAUCUCAGAAAUCGAAGAGGCACCUACUUUUCCAGCCUUGUCAGCACCUGUCACACGCACACUCAGCUUUGCGGAAAUUAUGGGCAUUCUGUCGAAGAUUUCUGGCGAAGUAGAAAGCACAUGAAUCGUACUGUUCAAUCACCCACUUCCCACACGCAACAGUAGCUCAUGGGUACCACAUAUAACUUUGCCAAAGUUCUCUGACAAAGUUGAGACUACUUUUCCAGCCUUGUCAGCACCUGUCACACGCACACUCAGCUUUGCGGAAAUUAUGGGCAUUCUGUCGAAGAUUUCUGGCGAAGUAGAAAGCACAUGAAUCGUACUGUUCAAUCACCCACUUCCCACACGCAACAGUAGCUCAUGGAUACCACAUAUAACUUUGCCAAAGUUCUCUGACAAAGUCGAGACACGUGAAGCUUGCAACUCUCACUACAUCGCUCUGACCAAGAAGGGUAAAAGAAUAGCAAAGAAACAACACUAACAAAGUUUAGACACAUAAAUUUUGACGGCCUAGCUACCAUAUUAUUACCCACAAGGGUAAAGGAACAGUACCACUGCUGGAUAAUUGGAAAGUCCCGGUGUGUCAACCUUUGUGCUUCAUGGCAAGGUAGACUAGCAAACAUGCCCAACCUUUACUCACAUUCGAGAAAACACUCCCAACAAGAUUGCUUGCCCCAAAAUCGAAGAGGCAUCGCCCUCCGAAUCUCGAGAGCCAGACUCUUCCAACAUGAUUACUUUCUCAAAAAUCGAAGAGAGGGUAAAGGAACAGUACCACUGCUGGAUAAUUUGUAAGUCCCUGUGUGUCAUCCUCUGUGCUUCGUGACAAGGUAGACUAGCAAACAUGCCCAACCUUUACUCACAUUCGAGAAAACACCCCCAACAAGAUUGCUUGCUCCAAAAUCGAAGAGGCACCGCCCUCCGAAUCUCGAGAGCCAGACUCCUAACAUGAUUACUUUCUCAAAAAUCGAAGAGAGGGUAAAGGAACAGUACCACUGCUGGAUAAUUGGAAAGUCCCUGUGUGUCAACCUCUGUGCUUCGUGGCAAGGUAGACUAGCAAACAUGCCCAACCUUUACUCAUAUUCGAGAAAACACUCCCAUCUCCCAACAUCAUUACUUUCUCAAAAAUCGAAGACACCGCUCUCCGAAUCUCGAGAGCCAGACCCCCAGCAUGAUUGCUUUCUCAAAAAUCGAAGAGGCAUCGUUCUCCGAAUCUCGAGAGCCAGAUCCCCGACAGGAUUGCUUGUUCGAAAACCGAAGAGGCACCACUUUCCCAACUUCAAGAGCCGGAUCUCCUUGGAUAAAGCUUGUCUGUAAUCUUUACACGCAACAUCAGCUUUCCAGAUACCACAGACCACUUUUUCAAAGUGCUCUGACAGAGUUAAAACUUGUGAAGCUGGCAGCUCCCACUACCGUGCUAUGACCAAGCAGGGUAAAGGAAUAGCAUUAUUACUUGAUGUUAGGGAGACUCCUAUAUAUGUCGACCUCCAUCCCCAACGGACAGGCAGACCUGCAAAAAUGCUCAACCCUUCCUCUUAUCUGAGAGGGCACUCCCAACGAAGCCUUUCGAAAUAUUCAGCUUUCUUUCCCCCCGAUAAUACCUCUGUAAACAAGCUAUACUAGAGCAAGAAUAUCUCAUAUCAUCAGGGUUAAAAGCAAGAGUAUCCCAUAUCAUGCUUUUUCCCUGUCUUUUCCUUUGGCCUUGUUCUUACCUGCAAGACAAGGAGAAAGAGAGCAAUCAGUCAGCACUUGGAAUCAAGCUUCCAGCCAGGAACUGACUGCCUGGAACCCCUUACCCUGGCAUUGCUCUCGAGUACUCAUCUUCAACAUCUUAUGCUUCCAGGGAAGAUACCGCAUCUGCCUGGGGAACAGAUAGGGCAAGUGAGAAGGAUACAAGGAAGCAUAUGGAGACAAGCGUAACAGCACACGUGCCGAUACAUCCACUACUCUGUCAAAAGCAAAAGUAUCCCAUAUCAGCAGGGUCGAACGUACUCUAGAUUUGAUGGACUUGUUUUGAUCCUCAAAUUCUUCAGUCGGCCUUAUACUUUGGAGGAAACCAGAAAACCUUCCAGCCCAGUUCAAGAAUAAGCCUGUGGAAAGUUACUUCUUCAAAAGCAAAAAGUAUCCCAUAUCAUCUCUUCUCAUUUUUCUUCUCUUUAUCCUUCAUGCUGCCUGCAAGAUAGGGAGAAUGUGAACAAUCAGCCGGAGCUCUGAUUGCUUACCUUGUCUGUUACCUCUUUCAGCAGAUCCCCUAGCUCGGCGACUUGGGGGACUCCUACUACAUGGUUUGUAUCGCGCUUGACCAAGCCUGAAACUACAAGUAAGCUUCAAGUGACAUUGAUACAUUACCUUGUGCAUCUCCACCAGUUACAGAUACCACCCCUGGAUGGAGGAAGAGUACUUCCAGAGAAGAUUCCACAUCUACCUAUGAGACAGAUAAGGAAAGUCAAGCCGAUACCACACUCCAGGACUUAGAAGUUUCGUGGUUACGAGAUCAUUCUCCCACAAUAUUUCCUAAUGUCAUUUGUACUAAAUCAUUCACUUGUACUCCCUAAAGGAGAGCUUGAACCUAUGUACUUGUGUAAACCCUUCACAAUUAAUGAGAACUCCUCUAUUCCGUGGAUGUAGCCAAUCUGGGUGAAUCACGUACAUCUUGUGUUUGCUUUCCUAUCUCUAUCCAUUUAUAUACUUAUCCACACUAAUGACCGGAGCAAUCUAGCGAAGAUCACAAAAAGUGACCGUUUUCGCUACCUAGGAUCUAUCUUGCAAGAGAACGGAGAAUUAGAUGGAGAUCUCAACCAAGAAUACAAGCUGGAUGGAUGAAGUGUAAGAGUGUAUCCGGCGUGUUGUGUGAUCGUCGUAGGCCACUUAAGCUCAAGGGAAAAUUUUAUAGGACGGCAAUAAGGCCAACGAUGUUGUAUGGUACAGAAUGUUGGGCGGUGAAGCAUCAACACGUACACAAAAUGGGUGUAGCGGAGAUGAGGAUGCUUCGUGGGAUGUAUGGGCACACGAGAAAUGAUAAGAUUGGGAAUGAGGAUAUCCAAGGUAAAGUAGGAGUAGCCAAAAUUGAAGGAAAUAUGAGAGAAAAUCGGUUCCGGUGGUUUGGACAUGUGCAAAGAAGGCCUACUGACGCUCCGGUUCGAAAAUGUGACUACGGGACAGAAGUUCAGGGCCGAAGGGGUAGAGGAAGACCUAGGAAAACUUUGGAAGAGACCCUAAGAAAAGACUUGAUUACUUGGAUCUAACGGAGGACAUGACACAAAACCGAGCGCAACGGCGUUCUAGGAUUCAUAUAGCCGACCCCACUUAGUGGGAAAAGGCUUUGUUGUUGUUGUGUUGUUGUUGUUGUUUGGUCUUUGCUUGUUAUCUAGGAAGCAAUUGUUCUGGCUCCUUUCGUGGCUUUUGCACUUAGGCCUGGUGUUUGGGAGUAUGUUCGAGUUAAUGCGUAUGAACUCAGUGUGGAUCAUUUAAGUGUUGCUGAAUAUCUUCGGUUCAAGGAAGAGCUUAUGGACGGAGAGUAAGGGCUCUCCUGUCUUAAUCCUUGUUACUGAAUUUUGUAAUUUAUGCCGAGUCUUUCAACUUACUUAUCUGGAGUAGCAUUACAUGAAUGCAGUCUUAAAAUGAAAUCAUUGUCCUAGGUGCAACGAUAAGUAUGUGCUUGAACUUGAUCUGGAGCCCUUUAAUGCAUAAUUCCCUCGACCAACCCGCUCGUCGUCAAUUGGAAAUGGGGUUCAAUUCCUUAACCGUCACUUAUCUUCAGUUAUGUUCCGUAGCAAAGAAAGUUUGGAGCCUCUUCUCGAUUUUCUUCGUACACACAAACAUGAUGGACAUGUAAGUUUGAGUUUGCUAUGGGCUUUGCAUGAAUGAACAUUCCACUUUUUCAGUUAUCAUGCUAAUUCUUUUGGCCCCUUGGUUUAUUUUACUGGUCGUCUUUUCUUUGCAUUCAGAUUUAGUGUAAGACCUAAAGCCAUAUUUGAAGUAAUAUGACAAUAAGGUUGUGAAAUACUCGUACCUUUGGACUGAAUAAUAUUAGUUCUAAAAUUUUGUGCAGGCAAUGAUGCUAAACGAUCGGAUUCAGAGCAUACCCAGACUUCAGUCUGCUUUAGCAAAGGCAGAGGAAUAUCUUUCUAAGUUCCCUCCAACUACACCAUAUUCUGAAUUUGAAUUUGAGUAGGCGAAUCAUCUAAUUUCAACACUUUGAUCUCCACUCCUAUAGAGGAAUAAUAUGAUUGCUUUAGCCGGUACCUUUAAUCUUUAUAUUUUGUGCAGCUUACAAGGAAUGGGAUUUGAGAGAGGGUGCGGUGACACAGCACAACGGGUGUCAUAGAUGGUGCAUCUUCUCUUGGAAAUUCUUCAGGCUCCUGAUCCCUCUACCCUGGAAAAUUUUCUUGGGAGGAUCCCUAUGGUGUUCAAUGUUGUCAUAGUGUCGCCACACGGCUACUUUGGCCAAGCUAACGUCUUGGGUUUGCCUGACACUGGAGGGCAGGUAUUGCUUACAUUUGACUAUUUAACAUCCAAUUGUUUGUUUUGGGUUCUUCCUUUCCUACAUCUUUAUAUAUGUCUGCUAGAAUAUCAAUAGGUCCAAUAGUUCACGAAUCUUCUCGUCCUAAACCCAUGAAAAUGUUUUAUCUUUUAUAGAAAACUUCAUUUUAAUCCCUAAAUAAGAUUGCUUUUUCAAUAAUACCGUAUGUAAGAUUAAAAACUAAAAAUAGUCCUCCAUGUUAGAUUAUAGUAUUCCAUGUCACAUUUAAUCAUUUUUUAAUAAAUUUAUUGCAUUUUUAGUUUCCCUAUAUACCCUUAUUACUCUCUUAAAACCAAUUAGAGAAACAGAUAUAUAAUUAAUUUUUCAAGAAUGCUUAAUUAACUAGAUCCAUAAUUAACAUGUUUGUUAUAACAUAAAUCUCCAUGUGUUAUUCCAAUCAAAGAACCCAGAAAACUUAGAAACCAUGAUCAAACAAAAAAAACCAUAAAACUUACAAACCAAAAAUCUCAUUGUAUUCGGAAGAAAGAAGAAAAAAUGGUCUUUUAGAUGCCAAAUUGACGGUGAAUCCAGAGAUAAAUGAAAAGAAAAUACAAAUUGAGAAAAUAGAAUGUGAAAUCACAACUUAAUUGACCGUACCAAAUUAAUCGGACAUACACUAUAUAGUACCUAACCGACCAUACCAAAUGGAUAAGACCUAAUUGAUAGUACCUAAAUGAUUAAGGUGCAUUCAUAUAGGUACUAUGGUUUAGGUGCAUUCAUAUAGGUACCAUGAUUUAUGUGCAUUCAUAUAGGUACCAUGGUUUAGGUGCAUUCAUAUAAGUACCAUGGUUUAGGUGCAUUUGACUUGGUACUAUGAUUUAUGUGCAUUCGACUAGGUUAGAUGAUUUAAGCACAUUAGGACAUGGUUUAAGUGCAUUCGAUUAUGUAAAAUAUAUGAUUUGGCUAUUUAUAUUUCCUCUAUGCUUUGAAUGGUGAUAAUGAAUAAUUUGAAUUAGGUAUUUGUUAAUUCUUGUAACGUAUCACUAAUAUUUUUUUGAAUUAUGUUUAUCAUUUUAGAAAGUCAAACAAUAAUCAAUGCCAAAAAAUAUGGAGCAAAUUAAAAUCAAAUAUUUAAUAGGGGCAUUAUAAGAACCAAAAAAACGCAUUAAAUAUUUAAAAACAAGAAAAUAUAAAUUUUAAUAUUUAUGCUCACAUGGAAAUUUAGUCAAAGGACAAUAAUGAAUAUAUAAUCUAACAUAAGGUUUUAAUUGAAUUUCAAUCUUUAUCAAGGAUUAAAAUGGAGAAACCCCUAUCUUUUAUUACUGAUGGCAGGUUGUUUAUAUACUGGAUCAAGUGCGUGCCCUGGAGAGUGAGAUGCUUCUUAGAAUACAAAAUCAAGGAUUGGAUGUUAUUCCAGAAAUUCUGAUUGUAAGUUUGCUUAACUGAAAGUUCAUGCUAUAUUAGUUGACAUAAGGUGUUGUGUAUAUUUUAUACUGUGUCCUGUCCUUUUACUUGAUGAUGGUAGGUUACCCGACUGAUACCGGAUGCAAAAGGGACAACAUGCAACCGAAGAUUAGAAGGAGUCAGUGGUACAGAAUACACAUAUCUUACGGGUACCUUUCAGGACUGAGAAUGAGAUACUGCGGAAAUGGAUUUCAAGGUUUGAUGUGUGGCCUUACUUGGAGACCUUUGCAGAGGUAAGCAGUUAAAAGGAUAUAACUUGUUUUCUUUUUCUUUUUGGGUGUGCUCUUUUUUAAUCUCCCCUUAUUUCUUUUUCUGUCCCCUUUUUUACUGCCUGACUACUUCACUUUUAUGAUGCACACUGUUGGGUUCUGAAUAACUACUUACGGGUUAUACAACAUACUCUUUUUCUCUUAUUGUGUUAUUUCUAGGAUGCCUCGAAUGAAAUUGCCACUGAGUUGCAGCGUGUUCCAGAUCUAAUCAUUGGAAACUAUAGUGAUGGAAAUCUUGUUGCAACUCUGUUGUCGUAUAAACUGGGAAUCACACAGGUGAAUUUUAGUUUUUAAUUCAUUAUUUCAGAUGCAACACAGAGAUUGGUGGAAUAACGGUGGGCUUAUAUUGGAGUUAACUUGUCAAAACUGAAUUCUCCAUGUAGUGCAAUAUUGCUCAUGCAUUGGAGAAAACAAAAUACCCAGAUUCUGAUAUAUUUUAUUGAGUUGUUCACGGGAUUGAUGUUUUUGAUCCCAAGUUUAAUAUCGUCUCCCCAGGAGCAGAUAUGUGUAUAUACUUUCCAUAUUCUGACAAGGAAAAAAGGCUUACUGCUCUACAUGGGUCAAAUUGAAGAACUCUUAGGCCAUCUCUAACCGAAAGGUUCAGAGGGCCAGAGGGCCGAAAAUAGCCCUAAAACCGUCUCCAACCGAGGGCUAGGCCAGAGGGCUCUGGAAUCUGGGAGGGUCCCACGGGAUCGGAGAGGGCUGGAGGGCUGGAGGGCUGGCUGCUUUCGGCCAGCCAGCCAGCCCCAAGCUGGCUAUUUUUUUUUUUAAUGUUUUCCUAUUGCUGUCGGUUAUAACCGACAGCAUUAAAGAGAUUCUUUUUUUAAUAGUUUUACUAUUAGUGUCGGUUAUAACCGACACUAAUAGUUUGAAAUUUUUUUGAAUAUAACGGCUAGCUGACUCAGCUAGCCGUUGGGUUUUUUUAUUUUUUUUUAUUUUAAACAUUUCUUUUCUUCUAUAAAUAUGGUGAAGUUCUUUCAAUUCUUCACUUCAUUUGCAAUAUUUCCUUCUUCAAUAUUUUUCAAUAUUUCCUUCAAUAUAUUUCUCAAUAUUUCCUUCAAUAUUUCCUUCAAUAUAUUUUCCAAUAUUUCCUUCAUCUAUAAUAUUUGUUUCAAUUUUUCAAUAUUUCCUUCAUCUAUAAUAUUUCUUCACUUCAUUUGCAAUAUUUCCUUCAAUAUUUCCUUCAUUUUUUUUCAAAAAAAAUGGCCUCAUCUGCAAUGAAAGGUAGGGCUUGGACCCGAAAAGAAGAUGAAGCUCUUUGCAAGGCUUAUAGAUGGAUCUCAGAAGAUAGUGUGAGGGGGAUUUCUCAAACAAGUGAAGGUGUUUGGACUCGUGUGUCCAAAAAAUACUUAGAGUUCUACGAAGGCACCAUUCCACCGAAUACCCGAAACCACGAAAGUUGUUCUUCAAGAUGGAAGAAACAUCUUCAUCCAAGUUUGAAUAAAUGGCAUCAAGCACUAUUAGCAGCAGCAAGUAGACAUGAAAGCGGCGCCAAUUACUAUGACGAAGUUAGUGUUUUUACAGUUUAUUUUAAAUGUUUAAUUAUAUUACAUUUAAUUUCGUGAAUUAAUUUCCUAAAAUUUUUUUAAUUAUAUUUUCUAGGUACGCCAAGCGGAGGAACUCUAUAUGGAGGGCAGCUCAAAACCCUUUCAAUUUCAUGGUUGUUGGGAAAUUUGUAAAGGGUGGGUGUUAUUUGAAGAUCCACCUCAACAUAGAGUGGAUCCUUUGGAAGCUGCAUCGCCAUCUGUAGAUAUGAAUGAAGAUGGAUCUCCUACCAUUCAACAAACAAGGGUAGAAAAUCCGACUCCGUCCCAAAAGUUCUUUACCUAGGGCUAUGGGACGAAACAAGGCUCGAAGGUUGAGGGAAAAGGGCAAGGCAAAUGCUGAUUACGCCGCUCAACAUGAAGUGGCGGCCUCAUUUCGAUUACUGGUGGAGCAAAAUGCCCUUGAGGCAGAAGAAAGGAAGUGUAGACAUGAAGAACGAGCCAAACAAAUACAAGAAGAGAUGGAUGAUAAGAAUAUGGAAAGGAACACUUCGAAUUACACUCCAAUGAGUAAGGCCUAUUUUGAUAGGAAAAAAAAAGAAAUUAUGUCUCGGCGGCAAUUGUUUACCUCUGACUAUACUCCUACAAUGGCGGAUGAUGAAGAUGAUAUUGAUUAUGGAUAUUAAAUUUAAGUCGUUGUAAUUUUUAAAUUUAAGUUAAUGUUGUUUUUAAAUUUAAUUUGUAGUUUUUAAAUUUAAUUUGUAGUGUUUAAAUAUAAGUUGUUGUUUUUAAAUUUAAGUUGUUGUAGUUUUUAAAUUUAAAUAAUAAAUUAUGUUUGGCCCUAUGGCCCUUUGGCCCUCGGUUGGAGACGGUUUUUUGUGACAGGGCUAAAACGAGCCCUUUGGCCCUCUGGCCCUCGGUUGGAGACGGAGGCAAAUAUGGCCCUGUACUGUUCAUUAAAAUAUUAAUAUCUUGGGGAAUCUUGGAGGGCCAGAGGGCUCAAACGAGCCCUCUGGCCAGCCCUCGAUUAGAAAUGGCCUUAUAUGGUGCUGAGCAGAACGACGAGCAUAUGUGAGUAUCUUCUAAUGUUAAGUAAAGAACUUCUGAAAAACAAUUUAAGGCCAUCUCCAACUGAUGGCCGGCCAGAUAGCUCGUUUUAGCUCUCUAGCCCUCCAAGAUUCUCCAAGAUAUUAAUAUUUUAAUGAACAGUACUGGGCCAUAUUUGCCUCCGUCUCCAACCGAGGGUCAGAGGGCCAGAGGGCUCGUUUUAGCCCUUUCACAAAAAACCGUCUCCAACCGAGGGCCAAAGGGCCAUAGGGCCAAACAUAAUUUAUUAUUCAAAAACUAAAACUUAAAUUCAAAUCCAACGGAGUAGGAGUAGGCAUUUACGUUUUAUGUUUUUAAAUGUUUUUAAAAAUGUUGUUUAAGUUUCAUGUUGUAUAAUUUUUAUGUUGGUUAAUGUUAUUUAAUGUUGUUUCAUAUUGUUUAAUGUUGUUUCAUGUUACUUAAUUUAAUUUAAUGUUGUAUAAUGGCUUAGGAAGUUAUAGGAAAAAAAAUAGAAUUUAAAAAAAAUAUGAAACAAAUUUUGUGAAAUAGAAGUUAUAGGAAAAAAAUGGAAUUUUAAAAAGGCUUUUUAUAUUAACACCCUACAAAAUGUUGAAUGCACCCCACAUUAAAAUUUAAUAUUAAUGACUUAUUUACUCUAUUAUGCAAUGACAAUUUUGACCUUAUUAGGUUUAAAAAAUAAUAAAAAAAUUUAUAAAUACACCCCAAAUCACUUUUAACGUAUUAUUUAUGUACUUCAACUAUCAAAACCCCUCUCACCCUCCAUUGUUGAAUAAAACCCUAAGCAAUGAAACUACAAACAUGUUGAUUGAAAAAAAUUAUUUUUGACAAAUGGAACGCGAAAUCGGUGUUUCGAAAACUUUGAAAUCAUUAUUAUUGUUAUUGAAAAACGUUCAAAUGAACCUAAAUUUUUUUUCAAAUCAUUCAAUUUGAAAUAAUUCAGCAAACUAGCGUUCAAAUGGUUUGAAAUCAUUCGGCAAAAUAAAAAAUGAGUGUUAUAAGAUUUGAGAAAUGUGGGGUGUAUAAAAAUGUGAGGUGUGUGUAGAAAAUGUAAGGUGUGUAUUAAGAAUGUGGGGUGUGAGGGUAUUAUGGAGAAGGAAGUAGGGUGUAUUAAGAUAAUUUUUAAUUGAAAAAGUAAAUGUGAGGUGUAUUAAGUAUGUGGGGUUUAUUCAACAAGUUGUGGGGUGCUAAUAUAAUAAGCCUUUAAAAAAAAUAUGAAACAAAUUUUGUGAAAUAGAAGUUAUAGGAAAAAAUAGAAGUUAUAUGAAAAAUUUUGUAAAUAAAAAAUAAUAAUAAAAUUGUAAAAAAAAAAAACAAAACAAAACAAAUGCAACGGCUAGCCGUUGCAUUUGAAUUUUUUCUUAAGAAAUCCUGUCGGUUAUAACCGACAGGAUUAACAAAACAUUAAAAAAAAAAUAGCCAGCCAUGCAGCCAGCCCUCCAGCCCUCUCCGAUUCUAUGGGUCUCUCCCAGAUUCCAGAGCCCUCUAGCCUAGCACUCGGUUGGAGACGGUUUUCGGGCUAUUUUCGGCCCUCUGGCCCUCUGGACCCUUCAGUUGGAGAUGACCUAAGCCUCUUUUGAGUGGCGUUGAGAUUUUAUAGAUAUCAAGGUUGCAACUUACAUGUACUUCAUUUUCAACACUCAAUCGUCUGAUACUCAUUUGAUGGUGAUGCAGUGGGCUGUUGAGUGAUAGAUCAAAGCCUAUUGUCUUUUCCAUGGCAAGACUUGACAGAGUGAAAAUUUUAACUGGACUUGUUGAGUGCUAUGCUAAGAGCGCCAAGCUAAGAGAAAUGAUAAACCUUGUUGUGGUUGGUGGUUACAUGGAUGUCAAGAACUCUAGGGAUAGAGAAGAAAUUGCAGAGAUUGAAAAGAUGCAUGACCUCAUUAAGAAAUACAACAUGAGUGGUCAGUUCCAAUGGAUAGCAGCACAAAUGAACCGUGCUCGUAAUGGUGAGCUCUUCUCGAGAUAGUCAGUAUGCAGUACGUCAUGUAUAUGUAUUCGGAUGAAGUUCAUUGCGAUUGUUUUAUCAUCUUCACCAACCCGGUUAUAUGUUUAAGCUUUAAGGGUGGCCCUUAGACUCUUUGCAGUGAGGUGGAGCUUCACGUCUUAAACCCACUUCAGGUAGUUGCUUCCAGAUACUUCCAGAGCGGUAAAGUCAAGUUUGUUAAGGUUCAACAUGUUGUUGCAAUGGAGUGAUCAAGAUCAUAGACAUUAUUAUAGGAUAAACGUCCAUAGUCAAAAGUAGAACAUUUAGAUUCUCUAGACAUGUUUUGGCUUAAAUUAAGCAUGAAAAACUUUGAGUUUCAUGAAAAAACUUCAAGUCUAAAAAUAAAUUAUUGUUUUAAUCGGCUGGGUUACAAGACAGGUAGUGGAAGUAGGUAAGUGGACAGUUCACAUGCUGGAAACCCAAAGUUUUCUGAUAUGUGUGUUUCGACUGUAGGUCAAGUUUCAAAGCUCGAACCCUUGCAAGAUUCUUCUGGAAUCUUAUGUUUUCAUGAUGAAAACAUUUCCUCAAAGAUUCAAUUCACCACAAUUACAACAGUAGUAUUAUAAUAUAAUUGCGAACAGUAAUUUAAGUAGAAUAUACAAUUCGGUGAUCGAAUAUUAUGGUUCAUGCUCAUUGGUGAAUGUUAGCCUGAAAAAAUAUCGACAAUUCAAAACGCGUUUUCGUAGAACCUGGAUUGCGAUGAGAAAUCUUGUGAACAAGUUUGUAGCAGAAUAUGUUUUAGUUCCUUAGCACAGUUUCAUGAACGUGUGCGACAAACAAAGAAUAGAGAGUUGAGGAAUUUCUGUGAUGUGUCUUUCCCAACACUUGUGCCUUUAUUUAUAGUAAACUGGAUAGGAUUUCUUGCCUUGCAAGUAAUACACUCAUAAAGGGAUAAGAUUUUCUAGUGUCCUAAAUACAAUCCACUAAUGAUUUACACAAUCACACACAUGUUGGAAUUUAUGUCACAAUAGCUAAAACAAUUAUAUUUCGACACAAAACUAAUGCACUUGUUGACACACUCUCUAGUUGAGGUAGACCAAACCUUUGUAUGUAAAACCCACUUAUGUUAGAAAGUAUAUCAAAUGUAUCAAUUUUAUGAGUCUAUUUUUUUUUUAAAAGAAUAGCAUUACUCUAAAUAAAAAAAGAACCCCUUGUAAUUUUGGCUUUAGGUCUCAUUCUGCGUUGGACCGACACUCGUAUGGAAUUACAAAUUUUCAUUCACAAGUCAAAGUACAAAAAGGAGAGAGAAAUGUAGAGUAAAUUACACAACUAUUUUAUAUCCAACUAAUAAUAUUAUUACAAGCUGAUAAGCACGAUGAUCAGAUUCUGAGGGACAACUCGGUGGUAUACAUUAAUCACCGGCGACUUUCGCAGGGUCAAUCCUUAUUGGAUGGCCCCGGAAGUCCUGCCUAUUGGAAAUAAAAUAAAGUAAAACGAAAAGAAGAUGCAUAUACAUAUAUGCAAGCGGCGAUACAUAUAUAAAAGAUCACUAGCUAGGAGCUUGAUAGAUUCAUGAUUUCCUUGCCUUCUGCACGAAGAUAUACAACUGAUGAAGCUAAUUGGGUCGACCAUGCUUCCUGGUACCAAAUUCAGUAAUCACCACUCCGCCGUAGAGCUCGGCCGCCUCGGUGCUAGUGAGAAUAGCAGUGCCCGUUUUUCUAUGAACAUUAUUAACAGGCCUUUGCAUCAGAGUCCGACUCUGCUGAUCGUGAUGAGCUUCGUUGUAAUUGGCCAUCCUGUGGAUCUUGGCUUGUGGAUAAAAAUGUUGUCCUUGAUGAAAAGGAGGAGGAAGAGGAGGUCUAGUAGUAGUGGUGAUCAUCUUCUGCGGCCAGCUACAGUAAUACUCGUCAGCUGCCACGUUCGUGCUAUUGUUGUAAAGCACGCCGUGGCAGUCCUCUAUGAUGGUGUGGUGUUCGGAUGCAAUUGGGGCGGCUACCUUCCGGUGAACAACAAAGCGUUCAUAAACAGCCAUUGCUAACUUAAUUACAAUGAGUUAAUUAAGGGGAGCUAUCUAGCUUGGUUUGCUUUGUGCUUGUCUUAUCGAAAAAAUUAGGAGGAGCCAAGCCACAUUAUAUAGGAGUCCUAUAAAGCUUCACAAGUGGGCUUUCUGAUCAGGUUCUUGCGAUUCUCCAUUAUCCUUCCUUUUCUAGUAGGAGAAUAUUAUUGAAACGAAUCUUGCCUAAAAUCCUUUCUACUAUGACCCAGAAAUUAUGUUAAAACGUACGUUUACUUGUACUAGUUCUUGAGAUUAUUCAUCAAUAUAUGGCUAGAUACUACUUCGUUAGCGUUUCACACAUAUAACUAAAGGUUGCGUAGCUUACUUUUCCUAGUGCAUUAUUUACAGAAUUUAGGUACUUCUAACAAAAGUGGUUUUACCUAUACCUCUUCUAAGCAAAAACAAUAAUUUAAUCAUGCUCCAAGGUAUCUUGUAUUGUAGAGUUUUUAGUCAUUAGAUCUUGGUUAUUGUAUGCUAUUUCUACCAUCUAAUAGAGGUUGAUUUCACCUAUAUAUCUAUGUAGAACCGAUUAGAGGGGUAAUCAAUGUAAUUAGUAAAGAUGGUACAAACAACAACAAAGUUUUAUUCCAGUAAGUGGGGUUCGCUAUAUGAAUCUUAGAUCAACAUCACUGUGCUGGGUUUUGCUUCAUGUUUUAUGUUAGCUCUAAGUACUCCAUGCUUUUUUUUUAAGUUUUUCCAAGUCUUCAUCUACUCCUUUUGCUCCGAGUCUCCAUUUGAUAAUCGCAUUUUUAACUGGAACAUUUGUAGGAAAGAUGGUACAAACAACAACACUAUUAGUUUUCAUUUUCUAUUUCCUACUCUGACUAAUACACGUUGUUGAUAAUGAGGUUUUUCUUUAUAUAGUUCCUAAAUCAAAUUAAAUCGAUUAAAGAUGAAUUCGGGUCUUGAUAAGCAAUAUUCUGAUAAGGUUUGGACAAGAGUUACAUUAUUUUAUGUCUACCACAGAAUACAUAAUGUUAUAUAAUAACAUACACAGGUUAGAAUUUUUUUCCCCUCCAUAAUUUUUGAUAGUUUUGGAACUAUAUAUGCAUUAGAUUAUUUACUGGAUUCAAGCGCAUGAGCCUCUCAUGAUACUCGGAACCCUUCUGGGACACUAUAUCCUUUCACUGACUGUAUGGAUAAUAACCAAUAAGUUAAUAGAGAUAGCUGCCGUUUGAAAGAAAACACUGAUAUAUAUUGGUAUCGAUCGGUAUAACACAACAGGUUUUGGAUCAAUCUUAUGAGAUAUUAUUAAACUUUUAUCGUUUCUGCAGGGAUCUUAAUUUCAAAAUAAUUGAAUAAUUUGGUUUUCUUUUUCUUGGAUUUAAGUUUUUAACUUCUCAAAAAAUCUGCUCUAGACUGAAAAGCUACAUAAUGUACUAGUACAUUAUAAUAUGAGUUGAUUGAUGGUAUCACGUGAUCAUCACGUCACACUAAAAGGUUUACUCUGGACUGAAGAAGGUAGCAAAAUUAAGCAAGUUAACCUGGACUAUCUAGUGGACAAAAAAAAAUAAAAAAUAAAAGAGUAUCUAGUACCGAAGAAAGAAAUUUAAUGUAUCAGAAGAAAUAAGUUUGGUAUGUAUGCAUGCUUACGAUGGUAAAUCUUACGUAACCAAAUUAUUCUUAUUUAUCUUCCGAAAGACAAGGUCUGCGCUUAAUAUCUUCUUGGUAAUAUUCUUGAUCAUAUUUGCCUUACAUUACGAGUAGUGGAGGAAUCAUUUGCCUCUAGCUUGCCAUUUUUGUAGAUAUAAAGUUUGUAAAAUCGAUCGAUCGAUUCCAUUUCCUUAAAAAAAUGGCAUAUCCUUUUGGCAUCUCUUUCGUUUCAUAUUUUGCUUUUAUUUUUAUUUUUAUCAAAGCCAGAUAACACAAGCAUCCCUGUUAGAAAAAGGUAGAAGGACGUUCCUUAGGGAAAAUGGGAAGGUAUUAAUUCCUUGGGUAAAUUACAUUUUAUCCUUUCAAGUUUGGGCGAAAUUACAACAUCAUAUAACAUCUUUAAAAUAUUUCAAUUCCAUACAUUUACUAUCAUUUUAUUUCAAUAUUAUAUAUACAUUCCGUUAGAUGUGUGGGCACAUGAGAAAUGAUAGGAUUAAGAAUGAGGAUAUCUUAGGCAAAGCAGGAGUGAUCACAAUUGAAGAUAAGAUGAGAAAAAAUCGGAUAAAAUGGUUUGAACACGUGAACCGAAGACCUACAAAUGAUCCGGUUAGAAGAUACGACUAUGAGCUGGGUAAAAUAGGUCGAGGAAGACCUAGGAAGACUUUAAAUGAGAGUAUCAAUAAAAUAUGGAGUACUUGGAGCUAACGGAAGACUUGGCACAAAACCGAACGCAAUGAUGUUCUGGGAUUCAUAGGGUUGAUUGUUGUUGUACUUCAAAUCAGUAUCUUUUAAGACGAUGAUCGUUAUGUUUUCAGAAAGAAAGAAAAAAAAACCUAAAAUCACAUUUAAAGUUGCCUACCUCAAACGCUAGCGUCGCUAAGAAAUCAAAUUUGGAACAAAAUAUAAAAAACAACGAAACUCCAAAAGACCCUCAAAACUUAAAAUGCCGUUUUGAUGUAACAAACGAGUCUUUCCAUUCUCUUUUGACAUGGCAUAUUGUGAGCUCAAUCGGAGCUCAAAGAUCAUGGUGGAUUUUGUUGUUUCUGAAAUUACUCCUGUCUCAACCAAUUUUCCUACUUCACUAGAUUACUUGCAGAAAUAGAAUAUAUUAACAAUAUGUGGUUAUUCUCACUUGUACGUAAGACAUUGAUCAUAUAAUCAUAUGAAUCUCAUUUUCGUAAGAGAUGUGGUCAAUCCAAAAUGCAGAUACAAGAGGCCAAGGUCCUCACCACAUUCAUAUAAAUGGAGUGUUGUCAGGAAUGCAGCACAUCACCAUUGGAAAACACCAUUGUGAAAAAAGAAAAGGAAAAAGGAAUGUGAAACAAACAGUAUAUUUUGCCCACUACCUCUGAAGUUUAGAAGAUUUUGAUUUUAUAUAUAACAAGAGAAAGUACUACGCAUAAGGGGGUACGUAGCUUUAUAUCUACAUAUUACAAGCGGAAUAUAUGCAUCGUUAAGCACAGAUAAAUUAAGCUCUAUAGCUUAAUACACAUAGAGCUUUAUUUAAUUAGCUAGCUACUACUCAUUACUUAUACCAAACUAAUUAAGUAUGUUACGUAUUAGCUGGGCUAUUAGCCGCGAUUCUUGGGAUAGUCUCUAAUCUCUAUCCCCCCAAAUAAGAGGGCUGCAUCCUUGCUAUUAAGAACGGGCUGAUCUGUUAUAAAAGGAGGUUGUUUCCCUCCACGAGCUUGCUGAUGAUCUUGAAUAAACGGAGGCCUCGUAUGGCUCCUCCCGGUUGGCCGGCCAUAGAACUUGUCUAUCAUAGCAAAAGCCUCCACUCCAAGCCGUGCUAGCUCUUCCUGCGUCGCCAUGAUAAAAUUGCUAAGUUUACAAGAACAAAAGAAAAAUACAGACGCACAAAUAGGGUAUUCAGGUAAAUUGGUUUGCCUUUGUUUGCUGGUUAAAAGGUUAGCGGCCAAGCCCCAUUAUAUAGGAAUAGGAGUUAAAAAGGUGAUCGCUUCAUGGAGGGCCUUAAUAUCUUAGAAUGGAUAAUAUUUGGAUAACGCGAUUCAAAAAUCUUUUCUUUGAUUCUUUCCAAAAAAGUCUUCCCACUUUUGGUGAUUCAUUUGAAUUAAAGACAUUUGGAAUAAAUCUUUGAUUUGGGGGCUUGCUUAAGUUGGAAAUCCAUGUAAUUAAUUAACUAAUGUUGCAAGUUAGAAAAGUGCCUUAUAAAGUACACAGGGCACUAUUGAUGCAUGGUAGGUUCUUUGGUGCUAAUUAAGAGUUUCAUGGCAAGUUGGUCCAAAACACAUUAAUUAAUGAAAGAUAGGAAUAACGAUCAAAUGGUGGAACUUGGGAGGUGAAGAUAUUAUCUUUAUCUUCCUGAAGAGAUUGAAAGGAAUCUAUAUAUGGUUUACCACUUUAUCUCGUUUUCCUUGGGUGGCUUGAGGAUAUUGGUACACAUUUUCCAGAAGUAGUUCCAAUUUACGGAAAUAUGAAGCAUUGUUGAAACAUAUCUAGCGUUCCUUAAUUUCCAUCCAUAAUUAAAUGAUAAAUAUCACAGCUUUAACAAAGCAAAUCUAUUUGUACUAUACUUUACCAAUCUCGAAACUAUCAAACAAGGGUGAACUUUAUACCUUUAGGGACCCACUAAAGGAUUCGUGGUGAGGCACCCAUGCCGAAGCACAAGAGUUUCUCUCCAACCAGGAAGCCAAUCACAAUACAACACAUGUCAACAUUAGAAUAAAGCUCCUAGAGUCCACAUCGACCACGAACGGAAUCUGGAGACUCUCCUCAAUUAUAAAAAGAGACUAUUCUCCUACCAUUAAUCCUUAAUGUCAUUAUUAUACUUAAACUCGUCAUUAGGACUCACUAAUGAUGAUUAUGCUUGAACCUAUGUAUUGUGUAAACUCUUCACUAUUAAUGAGAACUCCUCUACUUUCGUGGACAUAGCCCAACUUAGGGUGAACUACGUACAUCUUGUGUUUGUUUUCCUAUCUCUAUUUCUAUCUCUUUACAUAUUAUCCUCACUAGGUGACCCAAGCAAUCAUUGCGAAUGUCACAAACUUAACACUUUACGUUAUUCCAAAAUCUCACUGAUUUUGUGCAUCAACAAAAUCCAUAUAUAACAAGGGUCCUCAAAGAUUACAAAGGAAAGACCCUUCAUUAUGUUAGGGAAUUCUACCCCCAACAAAUUAAAUGAGUGAGCAUCUCCAGGAAUCCAAGGGUAGUAAUGGUUAGCAAAUUUAGAUUUGUUAUGUUAUGUCGAACAACUUUAUCUCCAACAAAAGUAGCAACUGAAUUAGCAAAUUGAAGACAAAUUUUCAUCAAAAGUAUUGUUUAGUAGAGAAUUGAAAAAUUAAAAUUUUGGCUCUACAAGAUAUGAUAAACUUAGGAUGGUAUUAUUUUUUAAGGUGAAAAAAUAAAUUUGAAGAGUUGCCAUAAUUGAAGAUAAGAUGAGAGAAAAUCAGUUAAAUUACUUUGGACACGUGAACCCAAGACCUACAAAUGCUCCAGAUAGAAUAGGCGACUAUGAGACUGAGGCUUAAGGCAAAAGGGGUAGAGGAAGGCUCGGAAAAAGAUUUUAAGAAAAUACAUGGAGUACUUGGAGCUAACAGAAGACAUGACAUGACGCAAAACCGAACACAAUAGCGUUCUAGGAUUCAUACAACCAACCUCACUUAGUGAUAAGGCUUGGUUGUUGUUGUGGUUGAAGAGUGGGUUGGAGUGACAAACUUUAAAGUACGUAGAAUAAAAUUGCCACAUAAGUUCGCAAAAUGACACUCUUAUUGGAUAUUGUCAUAGAUUGAAAUAAAUUUCUUUUAGACUUUCAUUUCGCGUUUUCAUUUUCCAAUGUUGCACUAUGAUCCGAACCAUUUAUUUUUUGGUCAUCCUUUAAGGUCAUCUCUAUACAAAUGAACUAAAUCUUUAAAAAAAAUUAUAAAAAAAAAAGUUAUCUAAUGGUUAUAAAAUCAAUGAACGAACCAUGUUUUUUAGUUAAACAUUGAAACUAGGAGUUAAGAGUUUAGGGAUCAAACAGUUAAAUGAUUUCUAAUUUGGUUGAUUUUUUAUAAAUUAGUUAAUCUUAAGGGGUGGCCUAGAAAUAUAUAGUUAUGUUUAUAAGAGAACAUUGCAUUCGUAAAAAGAAAUUAAAAGUAGAAAAAGAAGUUCAAAAGCAUACACCUUCAUCGCUCAAUGUUAGGAAAAAAAGGGUAAAAGUCUUGGUUUGGCGCCAAAAUCUUCCAAAAUCUUGCGCGACGCAUAGGCCAGCAUACACCUUCAUCGCUCAAUGUUAGGAAAAAAAGGGUAAAAGUCUUGGUUUGGCGCCAAAAUCUUGUGCGACGCACGCGGCCUGUGCGUCGUGCAAACGUCCUUUGCGCGACAAAGGUGUGCAUUCAUUGCUCAAAAUAGCUUUGCACGACGAAGGCAAAGCUAUUUUGCGCAUCAAAUGCACACCUUCGUCGCACAAAGUCAACAACUUUGUGAUAUAACAUAAGAUUUUGUGGUACCACUUGUGUAAAUAUUUUAAAUUGACGAUCGAAUUAGUUCAUUGUAAUCAUAUACGAUCAAGGAGUGUAGCUGUAAAAAAUCAUCAAAAUCAGAGUUAAAAUAACCGUUAAAUCGUGAUUUUUUGUUUAUAACCGUAAAAAAGUUUUGUCCCAUUACUUGAUCUCUGAAUGUUUGUUUUUUGUGAUUUUUGGCGUAUGCAAUCUCGAAGCAUAUACAAACAAGUUUGACGGUUGGAUCGUUGAAGCUAAUUUCAUAGAAUGGUAUUCCAUCAAAACGAUAGAUUCACUAACACUUGGAGUUUAUGUAUAACAUAAGAUUUUGUGGUAUCCACUUGUGCAAAUAUUUUAAAUUGACGAUCGAAUUAGUUCAUUGUAUUCAUAUAAGAUCAAGGAGUGUGGCUGUAAAAAAAUCAUCAAAAUCGGAGUUAAAAUAACCGUUAAAUCGUGAAUUUUCGUUUAAAACCGUCGAAAAGUUUUGUCCAGUUACUUGAUCUCUGAAUUUUUUUUUUUUUUGCGAUUUUAGUGUAUGCAAUCUCAAAGUAUAUGAAAAUAAGUUUGACGGUUGGAUUGUUGAAAUUAAUUUUGUAGGAUGCGUAUCCCAUCAAAACGAUAGAUUCACUAACACUUAGAGUUUAUUUAUACUUUUCAUUAAGUAUAACGUAAGAUUUUGUGGUAUCCGCUAAUGUAAAUAUUUUAAAUUGAAGAUUGAAUUCAUUCAUUGUAUUCAUAUAGGAUCAAGGAGUGUAGCUGUAAAAAAUCAUCAAAAUCGGAGUUAAAACUACCGUUAAAUCGUAAAUUUUCGUUUAUAACCGUCAAGUUCAAUGAUAUAUAUAUUUAUUUAUUAAGUAUCUUUAAAUUUAUUUAUUUUGUUAUAACACUUAAGAAAUUGAAUGGUAUAUAUAUUUAUUAAGUAGCUUUAAAUUUAUUAUUGCAGUUCGGAUCAGGUUUUUGUUAGAAAAAUAUAUUAUUGUGUUUUAUGUAAAAAAAAAAAUUUUGAAAGGAGUAAAGUCACAUUUUCAGUAAAUUUUAUAAUAUUUAAAAAAAAAACUUGCGCAACAUGACAAUUGGGUCGUUGCGCAAACACACUUUGAGCGACGCACCACCAAUGCGUUACGCAAAGACUGUUUGCGCGACGCACCAACCAAUGCAUCACACAAAGGUUGUUUGUGCGACAAACAAAUUGCGUCACACAAAGGGUUUUUGUGGUCCACUUCUGUAAAUAUUUUAAAUUGCCAAUCAAAUUAGUUCAUUGUAUUCAUAUAGGAUCAAUGAGUAUAGCUGUAAAAAAAUCAUCAAAAUCGAAGUUAAAUCUACCGUUAAAUCGUGAUUUUUUUUUUAUAACCAUAAAAAAGUUUUGUCCCGUUACUUGAUCUCUAAAUGUUUGUUUGUUGCGAUUUUUGGCGUAUGCGAUUUCGAAGUAUAUACAAACAAGUUAGACAGUUCAAUUGUUUAAACUAGUUUCGUAGAAUACGUAUCUCAUCAAAACAAUAGAUUCACUAACACUUGGAGUUUAUUUAUACUUUCAUUAAGUAUAACAUAAGAUUUUGUAGUAUCCACUUGUGUAAAUAUUUUAAAUCGAAGAUCGAAUUCAUUCACUGUAUUCAUAUAGGGUCAAGGAGUGUAGCUGUAAAAAAAUCAUCAAAAUCGGAGUUAAAAUAACCGUUAAAUCGUGAUUUUUCAUUUAUAACCGUUGAAAAGUUUUGUCUCGUUAGUUGAUCUCUGAAUGUUUGUUUUUUGCAAUUUUUUGCGUAUGCUAUCUCGAAGUAAAUACAAACAAGUUUGACAGUUGGAUCGUUGAAACUAGUUUCGUAAAAUGUGUAUCCCAUCAAAACAAUAGAUUUACUAACAUUUGGAGUUUAUUUAUACUUUCAUUAAGUAUAACAUAAGCUUUUGUGGUAUCCAAUAGUGUAAAUAUUUUAAAUUGAAGAUCGAAUUCAUUCAUUGUAUUCACAUAAGAUCAAGGAGUGUAGCUAUAAAAAAAAUCAUCCAAAUCGGAGUCAAAAUAACCGUUAGAUCGUGAAUUUUCAUUUAUAACCGUCGAAAAGUUUUGUCCCAUUACUUGAUCUCUUAAUGUUUGUUUUUUACGUAUGCGAUCUCAAAGUAUAUACAAACAAGUUUGACGGCUGGAUCGUUGAAACUAGUUUCGUAGAUUGCGUAUCCCAUCAAAAUGAUAUAUAUAUUUAUUAAGUAGUUUUAAAUUUAUUUGUUUUGUACGUAUAACACUUAAGAAAUUGAAUGAUAUGUCUAUUUAUUAAUGUCAUGUGUUAUGAUUUAGUUCCUUAAAACUUACUCCUCAUAUAUUCUGUAUACUGCUCCUUUUUAUAGGCACAAGUAGGCAGAAGACAUCAACUGACUUUAAAAAAGAAGUUAAGAACUUGAGAUUGGCCUUUAUCGAUAUGUUUUUGAAGCACAGAACAUUGGCAAGGGAACUGCAGAGCCACCGUGACUUGGAUGCAAAGAAUAAAGCUGAGCUUAAACGUUUGAAAGGUAAAUUUUUUACACCUAUUGUGUUAUACAGCUUUUUACCAACCUGUGAGAUAAUUUGCCAAAUACUUUCUUAACAUUUCUCCUUGUUUGCUCUAUCUUUCUUUAUAUAUAUAUAUAUAUAUAUAUAUAUAUAAUUUUGCAUUGAUUAUUAAUGUUGUCCUUCGUGGGUAGUCUGUCUCUCCAGGAUGUAAGAGUCUAAUAAUCCACCUUGGUUGGUAUCUUCUCCUCCCCGCAAUGAGAGUUUCUCUCUCUAUGAGCGUUCUAGAUUGUUCUUUUCUUAAGGUGCAGUAUUCUCCGUCUUUUCUUGCACUUAUUUCUUUCUCCAAGAAGCAGCAUCGCAGCUUCUCUCGGAGAUCCCGAUCGAGGACGUCACUGUACCCAAGGAUGCAGGUCUUCAGAUCCUGACUGAGAUCCUAGAUCAGAAGCUCGGUCGUCGUCAUGGCAAGGUUGUUCGGGGUAUGGGGAAGGUGCGGGUUCGUGAGACGGGUGCCUCCUCUUCCAGACCAACCACAGGACAGGUCAUUGCCUAGACGGAGGAAGUGGAAACUCUAAAAGGUAAGAUUGCGAUCUAGGAAGCCCAGAUUGCAACCUAGUUUUUGGCUCAGGACGAGAAGAUGAGUAUGAUCUUACAGGCUUUACAGAUGUCCGGCCUCCAAAUCCCGAUGCCAGCACCUGAUCUUGCUCCACCUUUGACCUCCCAGCCACUUCGCUCAGCCAAUACCCAGUAGCCUAAUGCAUCAAACCUAGACGACUACUUCUUGUAGUUUUUUCUUUUAUGUUCGGACAUCUUGUAUGUACAUUUUCAUAUAUUUUAUAAUUAAAUAUUUUUUCUUAGUUUAUUAAUUAUUGUUUAUAAUUUAAUUAAAAUAUUUAUAAAAAAUUAAUUAAAAAAUAUUUUGUCAAAAAAGAGAAAAAAAAAAGAGUUUGCGCGAUGAAUGUGUAACCUGCGUCGCACAA
rnacentral:lncRNA from 1 species